GGAAGAGCAAGUGCUUCAUAGCUAGGCCAAACCCUGGGAAAAGGCUUACCAGGACUUGGUGCUUGGAUGUCAGUUUGGUUUGUAAUUGCCCCUUGGGACGUGUGGAUUCUCAUGACCUCUUCCAAGAACAUGAGGGCUUUUAUAAUCUCUGACAUCUCUUCUUUUUUAGACUGCAUUAAUCUUGGACCCGUUCUUGGGGAAGUGAAUUGAGUACGUUCCUCAAGUGCACGUUGACCCUCCACAGGUUUCUGCCAGUAUCAGUGAUGAUCAAUAUGUCUCACGAAUGUCUUUCCAGCGUGGUAUUCUGUACAGAUGUCUCUAUGCCAGUAUUCUCCAUUGUAGCAGAACAACUCUCUUCAAUGUGUUUGCAUCCCUCCUCAAUCAGUACAGCCAGCUCUUCUGCCAACUUCUCUUCGUGCCUCCAAUUAUGUCAACUUCUACAGGAGUGGGCAAGUCUGAAAGUACCUCAGAGCCUCACCAGUUAGCUGAAAACAGUCAGAACUUCCACUGUCUUCCCUUUCAGGUUCUGGAAACUGACUUGUGAACUCAGGCCAUAGGGCGGCAGAAGUAUCUCGAACUUACACAGCUUCCCGAACAGGAGACAUAACCCAAGCUUCACAGAGGGUGGCAGCCCUUCCAUGACACUGAUCCACCAACAGGGUUCCACCCAGUUACCUUUGAUCCACCACCCACAACAAGCCAUGAAGAUCACACCAACAUUCCACCUGGAAUUCAAGCAGUUACUGAAAUCCCCAAUUGUUGCUGCAUUUUGUCAUUGUUGGAGGAGGUGCUGCAUCAAAUGAGAGGUUUUAUGAGGCCUCUUUCUGUGUUUGGAAGAAAGAGACCACUGUUCGGCAACUGUCCUGAGCCAAGGGCUGGACGGCAGCAAUCUUGCACCUGUUCUUGAAGCAGUGAAUUGAAUACUUUCCUCAAGUGCACGUUGACCCUCCAC